rnacentral:rRNA from 1 species
UACGUAGGGGGCUAGCGUUGUCCGGAAUCAUUGGGCGUAAAGCGCGUGUAGGCGGUCCGGUAAGUCCGCUGUGAAAGUCGGGGGCUCAACCCUCGAAUGCCGGUGGAUACUGUCGGGCUAGAGUGCGGAAGAGGCGAGUGGAAUUCCUGGUGUAGCAGUGAAAUGCGUAGAUAUCAGGAGGAACACCGAUGGCGAAGGCUGGUCUCUGGGCUGACACUGACGCUCAUGCACGAAAGCGUGGGGAGCAAACAGG